UAGAUCCUGAAGUGUGCGUUGAGGAAAUAUAAUUCAACCUACGUAACGACAUUGGGAGCCCGGGUUUCCGACAAGCAGAUGUCAGGCCGCCUAUGAGCGGAAGACAGAAGCGAGAACAGGGCACCCCCCUAUUGAAAGAUAGGGUGUGAAUUAUAUCCUUGACGGCAUGUCGGGAUUUUU
rnacentral:other from 1 species